AGUGAACGCUGGCGGUAGGCCUAACACAUGCAAGUCGAACGGCAGCACAGUAAGAGCUUGCUCUUACGGGUGGCGAGUGGCGGACGGGUGAGGAAUACAUCGGAAUCUACUUUUUCGUGGGGGAUAACGAAGGGAAACUUACGCUAAUACCGCAUACGACCUACGGUUGAAAGCAGGGGAUCUUCGGACCUUGCGCGAUUGAAUGAGCCGAUGUCGGAUUAGCUAGUUGGCGGGGUAAAGGCCCACCAAGGCGACGAUCCGUAGCUGGUCUGAGAGGAUGAUCAGCCACACUGGAACUGAGACACGGUCCAGACUCCUACGGGAGGCAGCAGUGGGGAAUAUUGGACAAUGGGCGCAGGCCUGAUCCAGCCAUACUGCGUGGGUGAAGAAGGCCUUCGGGUUGUAAAGCCCUUUUGUUGGGAAAGAAAAGCAGCAGGUUAAUACCCCGCUGUUCUGACGGUACCCAAAGAAUAAGCACCGGCUAACUUCGUG
rnacentral:rRNA from 1 species